rnacentral:rRNA from 1 species
CACGCCGUAAACGAUGAGUACUAGGUGUAGGGGGUAUCGACCCCCCCCUGUGCCGCAGUAAACACAAUAAGUACUCCGCCUGGGAAGUACGAUCGCAAGAUUAAAACUCAAAGGAAUUGACGGGGACCCGCACAAGCAGCGGAGCAUGUGGUUUAAUUCGAAGCAACGCGAAGAACCUUACCUGGACUUGACAUCCCCUGAAUGACUCGUAAUGGAGGAAGCCCUACGGGGCAGGGAGACAGGUGG